rnacentral:tRNA from 6 species
GCUAGCGUAGCUCAGCGGUAGAGCUCCCGCCUUGUAAGCGGGUGGUCGUGGGUUCGACUCCCACCGCUAGCU